rnacentral:rRNA from 1 species
CCCGCCAAUUCCUUUAAGUUUCUCCGGUUGAUCCUGCCGGCGGUCACCGCUCUUGGAAUCCGAUUAAGCCAUGUGAGUCGAGAGGGUUCGGCCCUCGGCAAACUGCUCAGUAACACGUGGAUAACCUAACCUAAGGCGGGGCAUAAUCUCGGAAAACUGAGGAUAAUACCCCAUAGGCCUUGAUGACUGGAAUGUCUUAAGGCUGAAAGCUACGGCGCCCUAGGAUGGGUCUGCGGCCUAUCAGGUUGUAGUUAGUGUAAAGGACUAACUAGCCGACGACGGGUACGGGCCAUGGGAGUGGUAGCCCGGAGAUGGACUCUGAGACACGAGUCCAGGCCCUACGGGGCGCAGCAGGCGCGUAAACUUUGCAAUGCGCGAAAGCGCGACAAGGGGAUUCCAAGUGCAUGCACUCAGUGCAUGCUUUUCGUGAGUGUAAAAAGCUCGCGGAAUAAGGGCUGGGUAAGACUGGUGCCAGCCGCCGCGGUAAUACCAGCGGCCCUAGUGGUGAUCGUUAUUAUUGGGCCUAAAGCGUCCGUAGCCGGUUCGGUAAAUCUCUGGGUAAAUCGUUGGGCUUAACUCAACGAAUUCUGGGGAGACUGCCGAACUUGGGACCGGGAGAGGUCGGAGGUACUCCAGGGGUAGGGGUGAAAUCCUGUAAUCCUUGGGGGACCACCGGUGGCGAAAGCGUCCGACCAGAACGGGUCCGACGGUAAGGGACGAAGCCCUGGGGCGCGAACCGGAUUAGAUACCCGGUAGUCCAGGGUGUAAACGCUGUGCGCUUGGUGCUGGGGGUCCUACGAGGGCAUCCAGUGCCGGAGAGAAGUUGUUAAGCGCACCGCCUGGGGAGUACGGUCGCAAGACUGAAACUUAAAGGAAUUGGCGGG